rnacentral:rRNA from 1 species
GCUAACUACGUGCCAGCAGCCGCGGUAAUACGUAGGUGGCAAGCGUUAUCCGGAAUUAUUGGGCGUAAAGCGCGCGCAGGCGGUCUUUUAAGUCUGAUGUGAAAGCCCACGGCUCAACCGUGGAGGGUCAUUGGAAACUGGAGGACUUGAGUACAGAAGAGGAGAGCGGAAUUCCACGUGUAGCGGUGAAAUGCGUAGAUAUGUGGAGGAACACCAGUGGCGAAGGCGGCUCUCUGGUCUGUGACUGACGCUGAGGCGCGAAAGCGUGGGUAGCAAACAGGAUUAGAUACCCCAGUAGUC